GAAGGGUGCAAACGUUGCUCGGAAUUACUGGGCGUAAAGCGUGCGCAGGCGGUUCGUUGUGUCGGCGGUGAAAGCCCCGGGCUUAACCUGGGAAUGGCCGUUGAAACUGGCGAACUGGAGUGUGGCAGAGGGGGGUGGAAUUCCGCGUGUAGCAGUGAAAUGCGUAGAGAUGCGGAGGAACACCGAUGGCGAAGGCAGCCCCCUGGGCUAACACUGACGCUCAGGCACGAAAGCGUGGGGAGCAAACAGGAUUAGAUACCCUGGUAGUCCACGCCCUAAACCAUGUCAACUGGGUGUUCGGGAAGCGAUUUCUGAGUACCGUAGCUAACGCGUGAAGUUGACCGCCUGGGGAGUACGGCCGCAAGGUUA
rnacentral:rRNA from 1 species